AUACGGAGGGUGCAAGCGUUACUCGGAAUCACGGGGCGUAAAGCGCGCGCAGGCGGCUUGAUAAGUUGGAUGUGAAAGCCUACGGCUCAACCGUAGAACUGCAUCCAAAACUGUCAGGCUAGAGUGUGGGAGAGGAAGAUGGAAUUAGUUGUGUAGGGGUAAAAUCCGUAGAGAUAACUAGGAAUACCAAAAGCGAAGGCAAUCUUCUGGAACACUACUGACGCUGAGGCGCGAAGGCGUGGGGAGCAAACAGGAUUAGAAACCCUAGUAGUCC
rnacentral:rRNA from 1 species